rnacentral:rRNA from 1 species
AGUGAACGCUGGCGGUAGGCCUAACACAUGCAAGUCGAACGGCAGCACAGUAAGAGCUUGCUCUUACGGGUGGCGAGUGGCGGACGGGUGAGGAAUACAUCGGAAUCUACUUUUUCGUGGGGGAUAACGUAGGGAAACUUACGCUGAUACCGCAUACGACCUACGGGUGAAAGCAGGGGAUCUUCGGACCUUGCGCGAUUGAAUGAGCCGAUGUCGGAUUAGCUAGUUGGCGGGGUAAAGGCCCACCAAGGCGACGAUCCGUAGCUGGUCUGAGAGGAUGAUCAGCCACACUGGAACUGAGACACGGUCCAGACUCCUACGGGAGGCAGCAGUGGGGAAUAUUGGACAAUGGGCGCAAGCCUGAUCCAGCUAUACCGCGUGGGUGAAGAAGGCCUUCGGGUUGUAAAGCCCUUUUGUUGGGAAAGAAAAGCAGCAGGUUAAUACCCCGCUGUUCUGACGGUACCCAAAGAAUAAGCACCGGCUAACUUCGUG